rnacentral:rRNA from 1 species
GGGGAAUUUUGCGCAAUGGGGGAAACUUUGACGCAGCGACGCCGCGUGGAGGAUGAAGGUCUUCGGAUUGUAAACUCCUUUUGCCGGGGAACAAAUGCCAUUUGCUAAUAAUAAGUGGAGUUGAGGGUAUCUGGUGAAUAAGCAUCGGCUAACUCCGUGCCAGCAGCCGCGGUAAUAUGGAGGGUGCGAGCGUUGUUCGGAAUUAUUGGGCGUAAAGCGCGUGUAGGCGGUUGUUUAAGUUUACUGUGAAAGCUUAGGGCUCAACCCUGAAACUGCAGCGAAUACUGGAUAACUUGAGUGUCGGAGAGGAAAGCGGAAUUCCUGGUGGAGCGGUGAAAUGCGUAGAUAUCAGGAAGAACAUUAGUGGCGAAGGCGGCUUUCUGGACGGCGACUGACGCUGAGACGCGAAAGCGUGGGUAGCAAAC